rnacentral:rRNA from 1 species
AUUGAACGCUGGCGGCAGGCCUAACACAUGCAAGUCGAGCGGAUGAAGGGAGCUUGCUCCUGGAUUCAGCGGCGGACGGGUGAGUAAUGCCUAGGAAUCUGCCUGGUAGUGGGGGAUAACGUCCGGAAACGGGCGCUAAUACCGCAUACGACCUGAGGGAGAAAGUGGGGGAUCUUCGGACCUCACGCUAUCAGAUGAGCCUAGGGCGGAUUAGCUAGUUGGUGGGGUAAAGGCCUACCAAGGCGACGAUCCGUAACUGGUCUGAGAGGAUGAUCAGUCACACUGGAACUGAGACACGGUCCAGACUCCUACGGGAGGCAGCAGUGGGGAAUAUUGGACAAUGGGCGAAAGCCUGAUCCAGCCAUGCCGCGUGUGUGAAGAAGGUCUUCGGAUUGUAAAGCACUUUAAGUUGGGAGGAAGAGCAGUAAGUUAAUACCUUGCUGUUUUGACGGUACCAACAGAAUAAGCACCGGCUAACUUCGUG